CUCAGACCUGCCAGAGCCCAGAGGCAGGAGUGCAGUGGGGGCUCAGAUUGGGUCAUCUCAGCAGAGUCCCCAAACAGAGGACCAUGGCCUCCCUGGGGUCACUCAUUCGUUCAGCAGUUCGUGUUGAGCACUCGCUCUACCCCAGCCCCAUGGAGAGACUCAGAAGGGUGGGGCACAGCCCUGCUCUCAAAGAGUUUGCACUCGAGUCGGGGACCCAGCCUGGGCAGCAGCGUGGCAAGUGCGGGUGCUGUGGGAGCACGGAAGGCCCCCAGAGGGACCGUGGCUGAGCAGAGAGUUCGUCCCACUGAGAAAGGGAAGGUGCCUUCUGGGCAAGAGGAACGGCAGGUGAAAGAUUAGAACAAGACUCGCUGUGGACCGGCUUCGGGUGAUGAGCAUUUGGAGAUGGGCAGAACAUAAGGUGGGCGUGUUGGGGCUGGGUCAGGCUGGAGGGGGCCUGGCCACAGAGUGCCCUAAGGACCUGUGGGCAGUAGGGAGCCAGCGAAGGGCGCUGAGCUGGGGCGUGGCAGGGUCAGGUUUGCAUUUGAAGGAGCUCCCCCUGGCUCCCCCUGGAGGGCCUGCUGGAGGGGCAGAGACCAGGGAUGUGGAUGUUGCAAUCGUCCGUGGCCAGGAUGAGGUCAGAAUGAAGGCGACAGCAGCGGGGAGAGAAUCAAGUCACGAGAUCGCUUGGAUUGGCCUUGGUGGACCAACGGGACCAAGGGUCGGGUGAGGGAGACCGAGGAGUCUCAGGCGACGCCCGCACCUCUGCCCGGGAAUCAGCCAGGUGAGCCCAGACUGUGCUGGUGGGACCAAGUCAGGGUGCAGAGUAUCCAGCCACCCCAGAGGUGCACGCUGACCAGGCCGAGGAAGAGAGGACAAAUCGUGUGGCCGGAUCUCCACACUAGCCUGACACCAGGGAACCCGCCGUGGCCAGCUUUAUCCGAUGCUGAAAGGGUCAUUUCCCACCUGACGUAAGGGGAGCAGCCCUUCGCCCACAGCCCCACCUCUGCUGGGUAACUUGGAAUUUCAAGCCCAGUGACCCCUGAAGUGUCCUCUAAACCUGCGUGGCCCAGAGGAUGUCCCACUUGUCCUGAGAAAGGUUCCAUGGGGAACAUGACACUGGUAUCAAAUAAGCCUGGGGAAGACUGCACACUCGGGCCCCUUCUUAGAAGAUCAAAGUCCCUGUUAACAAUUAAAGGCUCUGAGAAGUCCUGCAAGAGAGAAGCCUGUCUGACUUUGUAGAAUCCAGUGUUUCCCUGGCUUAUUGCAUCCAGAACCUUUCUUUUCUCUCAAAACAACAGCCACAGAGCUUCACUUGGGAAAUACAUCCAAAAUGCAAAGUGGCAUUGCCCGCUGCCAUCUUGACACAGGCGAGCUUCUUUCCAGAGUCUCAGGGAGGAAAAGCAGGAGUCGGCUGUGUCUGGUAAGAGGCCCUGUGGUCCAGAGAGCAGGAGACUCUGCAGACCCACCAGGGCUCAGCAUGGCCAUCCCUCUCUCAGCCUCCAGGAGACCCUGUCUCCAGAGCCACUGUCCCCAGAAAAGGUGUCAUUGAGCAGCAGCCUCAGAAGAGGGGCAAGCUUAGCCAAGAGGGGAGGCCAGAUGUGUGCAGCAUCACGGAUGGGAGAGGCACGGAAGGCUGGGACACCCAGGCAGCAGGGAGUGAUGGCGUCUCCGGGCAUCCCCUGGGGCAGAUACAGCCUCGUCCUUCGGCUGGACUUGAACCAAAGACCAAUUCGUGUCUCCACCUCACACCCCCACCCUGCCCAGCCUGUCUUCUCCUAGUCCCUCUGCAUCCCCAGGGCCUGGGACCAUCUCCCAGCCCCUACCUGUGUGCUCUGAGACUCUUACCCUCUUUGGGGCCGAGGGGGCAAGGAUCCUGCUCCCGCUCCCGCUCCCGCCCCCUCCCUCCUGCACCGACUCUUGGCUGCCUCCUGAAGCCAGACAAUACAGGGAAAUGUUUGCACCCAAACAACUCCGCUGCUUCAGGAACUGGCUGACCCUGCCCAGGAAAGCACUCCUGCAGCUCCACCCUGGUCCCCUCAGUCCGAGGACCAGAGACCAAAGCUGAAGGGGCAGCCCAGCAGAGGUCAGCAGAGCCAGAGAGGUCAUAGGCAUCCCCGAUGUGGCCGAGGGGAGCACAGGGGUCGCCUCUCUCUAGGGACCGGGGCUUUCUUGCCUGCCUAAGUCAGAAAGGGAGGGCUGUUCCCGACUGUGGAUAUGCAAAAGCCAGAUUGUCAAUAUUUAUCUAGAGAGCUGUGGCUCUGGAUUAAUCUGGCCUGAAGAUAAUGAAAAGAGCACUUUGAUGUGACUUGAGAAAUGUAUUAAUUCAUUCAACAAGCAUUUGCCACACUUGGGGUCUGGGCCAAGCCGCAUGCCGGGCACUGAGGAUUCGGGGGUAUGAGCCUCACCCCGCCCUGGAGAGGCCCACGGUCCAAGGGGGAGACAGAACCCAAAAUGGAAUGGGGGGCAGGUGGGUGCUGCUCUGCCCCAGCUGAAGUUCCUCUUGAGAAACGCUAACCUGGCAUUGGCUAAAGCAGGGGCUGCAGGAUCAAUGCACACGCGGGUGGGAUGGGCCGGGGAACCCAUCACCAAAGUCACCUACAGCACUGGCCGCCUGGGUCAGGAAGCCACAGUGUCAGUGCAAUUUGUAAAAGCAGAGUCCCCAUCCCCACGUUUGAUAAAGAUUGAAAUGCCCUCUGGUGGCUUCCCUCCCAACACUCCUUCCCAUCUUAUGAUUCUGCCCCCACCAACCCCGACACAGCCCCGAUGAGAGGAGCACCAGGGCAAGCCAAGCCGGCAAAGCUUGUGAAAAGCAGCAAGAAGACAAAGCAGAUCUGGCACAGAUGCGGCCACACGUGACGGUGCCGUGGGGUGACCCCCGGCACUCCUGUGCCUGGACCUUCAAAGCACACCAGCUUCCCGUUCCCAGCACGGGGCGGGCGGCGGGGGAGAUAGAGUCAGGGACCCCAAGCUCCCAACUUGACCACAGUGGGGCUUACCCAGCAGCCCACCCCUUCUUAGUACCUUUGAGGAAACCGAGGCCGAGAUGGAAAGAGCAGGGAAGAUGCAGGGGCGGCCGGCUGGGGGCAGUUCAGGUCAGGGCAGCCAGCCUGCUUGUCACAGCCCCUCACGCCCACCUCGCCCGCGUGCCAGAGACUGUGUGUUUUUGUCUUUCUUGGGGGGAGGGGUGUGGCUCAGAGCCUUGAGUGAUAGUUAACUGACAAUGAAUUUGAACCACAUGGAGCCCGGGCUUAAGGGGAAAAUGUUUUGGUGAGAUACAGCUGGGAUUUCAACUCCCGCCCCCCAGACAGUACAAAAAUAGUCUGGGCCAGGCAGGCUCUGACCCACAGGCCUGGCCCAGUUUCGCCGCCCCGUGUCCUGGAGAGGCUCGCAGUGGCCUCUUUCCCUGCAUCUGGGUUUCGUAAUCUUUCCUGGUUGUUUGGGUCGCCUGUUUGUUGACUGGCCCGGUUUGUCUGGGAGGAUUUGCUCCCUGAAGGCUCCCACAGGCUGGCCCUGAAGACAGUGAGGCAGGAAGACCCUCCAUCCUGUCGCUAACAAGGCCCCCCGCGCUGGAAGCUGGAAAGGCUGCCACAGUCACAGCCUGGGGACUGGACUGGGAGCCCUGUGGCCUUGGGAGUGUGGGUGGGUGAUGGGCUCUGUGCGCCCGGGCGUGAGGUGGACUUCACCCAAGUGAGAUCUGGAAGGUCUCGUCAAUGUCUCCAGUCCGAGCUCCUUCCUCAGGGGGACACUGAGGCCAGAGGCAGGAGGCGAGCGAUCUAAGGCGCCCGGUUAACAGCACCACCGGGCUUGCCCCCAAGCGAGGGCUUCUGCUUCCGGCCCUGGGCCUGGCACCGAGGAGGCAUCCAGAAGUGUUUGUGCAUUGAGACAAUGGUCAAAGCCCUUGGCCCUCAAUCCUAGCUCAGAGGAAGGAAACAGAGGGCGCUGGGCCCCCGGGCGGGCCCCUGCCACCCCAGCACCUAGUAGUAAUAACCUCCUGCCCCCGGGGGCAAGUGCUGAGAGCCCUCCUAGGGUGCUCCGGGCUGGGGCAGGAGGAGGGGAUGCUCAUGGCGCCCUCGCAGGCCCAGCGGCAGGGCCACGGGACAGCAGCUCCUGCAAAAAGAGGUGCCAGCAGUGAGGCCAGGGGUUGUUGGGAUGGACAGAGAGAUGGGGACACCGCAGGGGAGGGGCUCGAGGCAGAGACCUCAGCCACAGCAUCCCUCAGACCAGCUGACGGAGCCACUACCUGGCAGUCCAGAGUCACAUCUGGAAACCUCGGCCCAACCCAGGUGCGUAGACAGGGCUGGACCCUGCCCUCCUGGGAGUUGCGGUGAUGGCCCUGAGCGAGCGAGGCUGCAGGGCCGCAGGCAUUCUAAGGCCGCUUGGAGAACCAGUGUCCUAUCCCAGGCACUCAGGCAGGACACAUCCUCCCAGGUCACCGACCAGAGCACCGAGGCCCAGAGAGACCCAGUCCUGGAGACCCAGAUGGACACAGAGCAGGUGGUCUAGGCAUCGGGACCUGGCAUCAGCAGAGGGCUCUUGGCUCUCCCCCAUCUACUAGCUGAGCCAUGGCCUCCAAUCUGUAACUCAGGCCUACAUCCAUAACAUAAGGGCUGUCACAGGACAGCGCCCUGGGGUGAGCGGCCAGGAAGGGCCGCAGGAAGUCCACCUGGUGAGCCUGUAGGGGAAGUUAGGCCAGCUGAGGGUGCAGCUAAGGCAGGGGCUCUGAGCUCCCCUGAGCUUCCCCCCCUUCUCCGGGCACUCCCAGCCUGCCCAGGGGCAGAGGAGGUGCUGUCUUCGUCCACUUGCCAAACUCCACAGUGUCGAGUCAAGUUCAUCGGGGUCUUCUCAGGACAUCCUCCACUUUCUCUGCAGGCUGGGCCACCCCGGGGAGAGCCAAGGCCCCUGUGACCACAGGACAGGACCCGUAUCAGUCCUUCCUGCCUCGGUCUCCCCAUGCAGGGUCAGGCGGGAGCACCUCAAAUGUACACCGGAAGCAUGGCCUGGACACCCUCUUGCUCCCACCGCUGCCCCCUGCCCCGUGGCCCCGGGACCCAGCCUGUCUAGAGCCCCCACUGGCCUGGCCUCCCACCCCCUCACUUCCCAGAGGGUUUCCGCUCCUUUCACUGCCAAUUGUCCUACUCACACUGCCCACUCCCUCUGCUCCAGCCUGGCCCUCAGCCAGCCCCCAAAGGCCAGGCUGAGCCCGGGUGAAGGCAGCCCAGCUAGGGAACGGGGGCGUUGGGCUGGGGCUCUGGGAAGCCUGGCCCUCCCCCAGGAGUUCGAGAAUGGGGGAAGGUUUCUUCCCAGCCCUCUUGGCAAGGGUGGGAAUCGGGGGCUCAGUGAGGGGGUCAGACAGGCCUGGAUUUGAAUCACUUGUUUGAGUGAGCCUCUCUGAGCCUCAGUUUCCUCAUCUGUAAAAUGGGGGUGAUAAUGACACCUUUCUGCCAUGGUCAUGGGGAUUUAGUGAGAUAUUACAUCACAGCAAGGUCUUCACCAUAGUGCCUGGAGUGAAGGAGGUUCCCAGGGAGGGUGGCUGGCAUGUUCCUGCCCAACAGAGGCAGGGGUUCUGAGUGGUGGGGACAUUGUGAGAAGGCACCAGGGAAAGGAAGGUCCGUCAGAGUGGUCCAAAGAUGAUGCUGACGGCCCCAGAAUGCCCUCCCUCCUUCCCCCUGCCAGGUCCUCUGACAGGUCAGAUGGCGACAGAAGCAGACAGAGGGAGGCCCCCGACCCCACCCCAACACACACGCACCCAUGGACACCCCCAGCCCCAGCACUGGAAGCUCGGACUGACCAUCCAGACAGUGCCCCCACCUCAGGACCAGGUGUUCCCCCAGGAGACUGGGAACAGAAACUCACAGCCCCCAGCAGCCCCCAGCUUCUGCCUUCUGGAAGAGCCAGGGGUUCAGCUCCAUCCCCGGUCAGCGAGACUCAGUAAUGCAAAGCCUGUCUCUGUUUGGCCUUCGAAGCCUUGACAAGGCAGGGACUGCCCCUUGCUGCGGGGACGCCUCACUCAAAGGCCUAGGGGAGACAGGACUGGAUGGCCCUUGCAACUCAGCUGUCUGCUUCUCCUCCUGGGCUGGGGACAGCAGCAUCAUUUCUCAGGGCCUAAGAGCCAUCCCUCUCUCUGCCUCGCUCUAUCUAUCUCCCUCUCCACUCUCUGUCUCCCCACCCACCCGGCUUGCAGAGAGCCAGUGGGGAACAGUGGUUAAGGACACAGACUUUGGGCCCAGAUUGCCUGGUUUGAAUCCCAGCUGUGCCACCCAGUGGCUGGGUGGACUUUAAGCCUCGGUUCCCCAUCUGUAAAAUGGGUUAAUGAUAACAACGGUGCCUCCCUCACAAGGGAGGCCAGAAUGAGUUAAUACAAGUAAAGCCUUCAGAAUGAUGUUUGGCCAGAAUGAAUACUCAAUAAACGCUAGCCC
ensembl:lncRNA